rnacentral:rRNA from 1 species
AACGGCAGCGAAGAGAAGCUUGCUUCUCUGUCGGCGAGUGGCGAACGGGUGAGUAUAGCAUCGGAACGUGCCAAGUAGUGGGGGAUAACCAAGCGAAAGUUUGGCUAAUACCGCAUAAGCUCUAAGGAGGAAAGUAGGGGACCGUAAGGCCUUACGCUAUUUGAUCGGCCGAUGUCGGAUUAGCUAGUUGGUGAGGUAAUGGCUCACCAAGGCGAUGAUCCGUAGCGGGUCUGAGAGGACGAUCCGCCACACUGGGACUGAGACUCGGCCCAGACUCCUACGGGAGGCAGCAGUGGGGAAUUUUGGACAAUGGGGGGAACCCUGAUCCAGCCAUGCCGCGUGUAUGAAGAAGGCCUUAGGGUUGUAAAGUACUUUUGUUAGGGAAGAAAAGCUAGUUUUUAAUAAAGACUAGUGAUGACGGUACCUAAAGAAUAAGCACCGGCUAACUACGUGCCAGCAGCCGCGGUAAUACGUAGGGUGCGAGCGUUAAUCGGAAUUAUUGGGCGUAAAGCGAGUGCAGACGGUUGUUUAAGCCAGAUGUGAAAUCCCCGAGCUUAACUUGGGACGUGCAUUUGGAACUGGAUAACUAGAGUGUGUCAGAGGGAGGUAGAAUUCCACAUGUAGCGGUGGAAUGCGUAGAGAUGUGGAGGAAUACCGAUGGCGAAGGCAGCCCCCUGGGAUAACACUGACGUUGAGGCUCGAAAGCGUGGGGAGCAAAC